rnacentral:lncRNA from 1 species
AUGGGACUGAGAGUACUAGGUCACUGCUUGGCACAUUGGAGAGGACAAAUAAAUGUUGAUCUGAACAGUUUUACUCCAUUCACUGCUAAAGAAGUGCCUGCUAUGCCCCAGGUAGGGAAGGAAGCAAAGGUCAAACCAACUCCCUCCUAA